AAGAGACAGCAGUAGCCACGGUAAUACAGAGGGUGCGAGCGUUAAUCGGAUUUACUGGGCGUAAAGCGUGCGCAGGCGGUUAUAUAAGACAGAUGUGAAAUCCCCGGGCUCAACCUGGGAACUGCAUUUGUGACUGUAUAGCUAGAGUACGGCAGAGGGGGAUGGAAUUCCGCGUGUAGCAGUGAAAUGCGUAGAUAUGCGGAGGAACACCGAUGGCGAAGGCAAUCCCCUGGGCCUGUACUGACGCUCAUGCACGAAAGCGUGGGGAGCAAACAGGAUUAGAUACCCCGGUAGUCCCUGUCUCUUAUAA
rnacentral:rRNA from 1 species